rnacentral:rRNA from 1 species
UGGUGAAUAUUGAUCAAUGGAUUUUUGUCCGAAUAAGUACUUCAUGUGGGGUUGUUGACUCUAUACUUUAAUUACGUAUAAUGAAUUUAUUAAAGGUGAACUGGGGACUAACGACGUGCCAGCAGUUGCGGUAAGACUUCGAACCGGGAGCAUUACUGGUCGUGAUUGGGCGUAAAGAGUACAUAGACGGUUAAGGAAGUUAUAUUAAAAAAAAUAAGGGUGAACAUAAAUAAUAUAAGACCCUUAUACUAGAACUUAAAUAGUGAUUAUAGCACGAGUAGUUUAGCGAUUAAAUGCGUAGCAUACUAGGUCUCUCAGAGGUUAUAACAAUAUUCAGUUUUAAGUUGACGUUGACGUACUAAAGUGUGGGUGGCAAUAA